CUACGGGGGGCUGCAGUGAGGAAUAUUGCAUAAUGGGGGGAACCCUGAUGCAGCAACGCCGCGUGGAGGAUGACGCAUUUCGGUGUGUAAACUCCUUUUAUAUGUCAAGAAAAUGACGGUAGCAUAUGAAUAAGCACCGGCUAACUCCGUGCCAGCAGCCGCGGUAAUACGGAGGGUGCAAGCGUUACUCGGAAUCACUGGGCGUAAAGGACGCGUAGGCGGGUUGGAAAGUCAGGUGUGAAAUCCUACAGCUUAACUGUAGAACUGCACUUGAAACUUCUAAUCUAGGGUAUGGGAGGGGGAGAUGGAAUUAGUGGUGUAGGGGUAAAAUCCGUAGAUAUCACUAGGAAUACCUAAAGCGAAGGCGAUCUCCUGGAACAUUACUGACGCUAAGGCGUGAAAGCGUGGGGAGCAAACAGGAUUAGAUACCCUAGUAGUC
rnacentral:rRNA from 1 species